rnacentral:rRNA from 1 species
CUACGGGCGGCAGCAGUGGGGAAUAUUGCACAAUGGGCGCAAGCCUGAUGCAGCAACGCCGCGUGAAGGAUGAAGGCCUUCGGGUUGUAAACCUCUUUUAGCAGGGAAGAAGCGAAAGUGACGGUACCUGCAGAAAAAGCACCGGCUAACUACGUGCCAGCAGCCGCGGGAAUACGUAGGGUGCAAGCGUUGUCCGGAAUUAUUGGGCGUAAAGAGCUCGUAGGCGGUUUGUCACGUCUGCUGUGAAAAUCCAAGGCUCAACCUUGGACUUGCAGUGGGUACGGGUAGGCUAGAGUGCGGUAGGGGAGAUGGGAAUUCCUGGUGUAGCGGUGGAAUGCGCAGAUAUCAGGAGGAACACCAAUGGCGAAGGCACAUCUCUGGGCCGUAACUGACGCUGAGGAGCGAAAGCGUGGGGAGCGAACAGGAUUAGAUACCCGUGUAGUC